GAAGGUCUUUGGAGGUUUAUCAGAAAUGUUCCUGAGCAGGAAGGCCAGUACAUGUAUCUGACUGACAUCUGAGCCAACAGGAACAAAACUAGGCCAUGACAGACAAAAGCAGAGACAUUCUGACAUGUCAGAAAGUCAUCAGAGGGAGAAACACACACACCAGGAGACGCAGAUGAGUUUAAUGUGGCAUCCUGCAGAUGCUUAUAUGAUGUUGCCCCCUAAUGAAGCGGGCAUCCUUUGUGCCAAGAGUGUAUCAGAGGAAUCCAGUGCUCAGCCAUAAACAACACGGCACCCUAUCUACCAGGCCAUGGUGUGGGCUGACAUGGAGAAUGUGAUGAAGAGGUGACCUCCCAAAACAGCCUCUGUGAUGUUUUAGCCGUGACGCCUGGAUCCUUCACAGGAAGCAGACAUCGGAAUCCUAUCUUUAGUCUCCAAGCCUACAUAUGUUUAUGUCUUUUCUUGCAUUCUUCUUCAUGGGAAAUAUGUGCUGCCGUAGACUGGAGAGCGAUACACAUUCAGGCUGUCAUGAGUGAUAAUGUGGAGUACAUUUAAAACUCACAAUUUCCAUGCAACAACUGAAAGGUAUAUAAUUUAGAAUUUUCUUAUUCUUAUUCUUGUCAAGGUAGAGGUCUGGAGCACAACUGCUUAACCUAUUCAGUAAGUGAUGAGAAAACAAACACCAAAAUCUUCAGUAUGUCUCCAGUAAAUUACAUUCAAACACACUGAAAGACAGGUAGACAAUGAUAAAACUUCUAGCAGUUUUAUCUAAACAGCCCCUCCAAAUCCUGUGAGAGCACAAAUCCUGACAUGUCUGUGUAGAUUGGUCUUUGAUUCUUGAUCAUCCAGGUGGUAAGAUCUGAAAAACAGAUAGGUUCUCAAUCAAAAUUCAGUCCUCAGGGCGCCCCGGUAACAACAUCAGAGUUCAAUUCCGGCCAUGGACUGUUGUUGAAUGUCAUACCGUUCUCUCUAUCCGUGUUUCCUGUCUCUCUGCACUUCCAACAGUAAAAUACAGGCAAAAAUGCCUUCAAUUCAACCUUCACAGACACCACUUCUUGCACAGGACUGUACCAAAAGUCAUCACUUUAGAAUCCUGCUAACGCCAGCUAAAUGAAUGUUUGGAACGUUCUCUUUGCUAAUAAAAAAAGAUAGUGGACAGAUAAAAAUAAAAGAUUCAUUAGCACCUGCUACAGCAAAUCUAGCUAUUUCAACCUUGAAUCAGAUCCAAAACAGAACCAACUGUCAGAAGCCAACCCUACAACUGGCACAGACUAUCUAUCUGAUCAGUCAUAAUGUCCAAAUUUGGGACAGAAUUAGUUUUAUGUUGUAAUGUGUGUAUAUAAACAGCUUCUUUACUUCCCCUUUAACCUUGACAUCACAUAGCAGUGGACAUUAUGUGCAUUUUUAAUGGAAUGUACAGGUGUAAGGUGGGGAGUAAGUAGUAUGUAUCUUAGUUUUCCAGGGCAGAAAUCAGCAUGUGGUCAAAACCACGGUAGAUAAAAGAUGUAUAAAGAAGUCCUAUAGUGUGUGUUCCCGACAUCUCCACAAAAUGGUAUA